AGAACACAAUUUGCAUGAUUUUCUCGUUUGCACUUUUCAUUAUCAUUUUUCGGCAUGGAACACUCCAUUCUAUAGCGGAAGUGUAGAGGGAUGAUGUAACAAAAAAUAAAAGUAUCCCAGGACGACUAGCAACUGUGUAACGAAACGAAAUUCCAAACGACACUGCAUCCACCUCUAGAAAAUGUAUGCGAAACGAAUUUUCCUCUUUCCUAGAACGAAAGCGAUGAAAGCGGUUUGUGGGCGUGGGUUUUCUCCUAAACUUAGCUUUUAAGGUCGGUAAGUAGUAGCGAGUAGCGAAUUUCAUGUUGUUUCGUUUACUUUUUUUUCUCCAUCUCGUUUUAUGGCACUCAACAACAACCGCAACAAAAAAAAUCCAUUUUUAUUUACCCCAUUCUGCUCGAAUCGCAUUCCACAAAACCACGAAAACGCCUGCAAUCACACUAUCAAACAAUCGAAACCACACACGCACACACACGAAACCAAUAAAAAUCCCACUAUCGCUAUCAAUGUCGAAUCGUAAAUCUGUAACACACAAACAACCACACCCAUUUCCACCAACCGCCAUUCGCCAAACCAAUGUGAUCGUAACCAAUUCGCUCGUUCGUAACGUGGAAAUCGAUGUGCGUAUGUGUGUGUGUACGUGGUUGUGUGUUGUCUAUAUUGGAACUGGGACCCAAUAAAACCAACAAAAAAAACAUCAAAACGCCAGUUGCCCCAAUGGGUAUCGGAAAUCCGGAGCCCAGUGCGUCAACAGCAACGAGUGUCUGUGGCAUCCGUGCCAGAAUGGUGGCCGCUGCCGGGAUCAUCAUCCGCCGAAGCGAUUCGAGUGCGUCUGUCCCCUGGGCUAUACCGGGAUGCACUGCGAGCUGGAGCUGCUCGCAUCCGGGGUGUUGACGCCGUCCAAGGAUUUCAUCAUCGCACUGAUCGCCUGCGUCAGUACCCUGAUCCGGUGCAGAAUAAUCCAAGCGUGAUUCCCAAAACAUUCUUGCUAACCAAAGCAAUGGUUGGGCAUCUUUCCCCGUAGGAAAAAAUCUAUAUGAAGGAUGUAACCAGAGUUUUCAAUUUAAAAAAAUGUCUUAUCAAUAAGGUAGAUAUUAUUUCCGGAUGGAGCAGAACUCAGAAUAAUCUCGGAGCAAGAGCUGGAAGAUAUUUAUGCACCCCAAAGCCCUCUUGCAAUAACCAUCCGGUGCAACGGCACGUUCGAUUAGUUUCCGGAUAAUCCCUCGGAACUUAAGCAACAUUUAAGUUGAUUAUGCAGAACCAUUUUAAACAAUUUGAAAGAACAUCCAUACUUUCAGAUUUUGACAUUUAUUGAAUCUUAGUUUUAAUCUUGUUAUUAUGCUAUGAACAUCCCUAAUUCUGAUAUAUGUAUGUAAGCCGUUCAAAUGGUGAAGUUUUUUUUUUAAUAAUAUUGGAAAGAAAAAUAAUAAGUUCCAAUCGACCGCUAGGCCUAGAUUAUUUAGAUUUUUUCAGAUAUAAAUGGUUUUAUAAUAAAAACGAACAUCUAGAUAAAAACGCAUUUUGUCUGCAUUUAUGUCUGCCUGUUUUUCUGUUCCAUAUAGACUCGGAAGCUGCUGAACCGAUUUGCGUGAAACUUUUGGAUACCGCUUCUUCUUACUGAGAGGAGAAAAAGAAACAUGUUUGCAGUUACUUUGGCAUUUUUCCAUUUAGUUUGGAAAACAAUCCAAGAGAAAACAUGCAUUAAAAAUAUUCACUAAAAUGUUUAGAGUGCCUUCAGAAAACUUCUUAUAAAGAAUGUAAAAAAUACCAUCUUCCCCUGGAGCUUUCAAAUUUUUAAAUUUUAUGAAAAUCAAAUUAAGUUCAUCAAUAUUCGUUUCGCAAGAGCUUCCAAAUACAUUUUGCUUAGAAACAAUAUAAUAAAAUUCAAGGGAAAUUUGAACAUCAAUUGGACCUAAAACAUUAAAAUUCAAAUCAUGAGCAGACUCAUAUUGUUGGGCAAAUUUUUGAUCUUUUUCUACGUUAGUUCAAGGUUAGUUAGGGUUUCGUUAUGAAUAAAAUUUAUAGGUCGGAAUGAAUAAAUUUCAAAUAAGGAUCUCUUCGUUGAAAAUAGCGUCGACGAAUGUUUUUCAGUCAUUUAAAAACUGAAGAUCAUCAUCGAUCAAAGGUUGAUUAAUUUAUGUUUAAAUUUGGGUAUGGAAGCGGCUUUAGCAUUGACUAUUGAAGUUGUCAAAUUUUCUACAGUCAAAUCAAUAUCUUCUAUUACAUUAAGUGGAACGUUUACAUCCAAAUUACGUUCAAUAAAAUUCCUAUAUCGCUCCCAGUCAGCUUUUUGAAAGUUAAAAGUUGAUUUUAAAGGGUUUUCAAUGGGACUUUGGGAUGAAGAAAAUGUUACUGGAAGGUGGUCUGGAUCGAGGUCCGCAUGAAUAACUAAUUGACUAAAAUGCUCACCUAAUUCCGGAAUCAGUUACAAUUUUUCCCAUAAAAUAUGAUCUU